AUUGAACGCUGGCGGCAGGCCUAACACAUGCAAGUCGAACGAGUGGCGGACGGGUGAGUAAUGUCUGGGAAACUGCCUGAUGGAGGGGGAUAACUACUGGAAACGGUAGCUAAUACAUAAUACCAUCAGAUGUGCCCAGAUGGGAUGAGCUAGUUGGUGUGGUAACGUCGCACCAAGGCGACGAUCCCUAGCUGGACUGAGAGGAUGACCAGCCACACUGCAACGGAGACACGGUCCAGACUCCUACGGGAGGCAGCAGUCAGGAAUAUAGCGCAAGGGGCGCUAGCCAGAAGCAGCCAUUGCGCGUAUAUCAAGAAGGCCUUCGGCUUGUAAAGGACUAUCCGCUUGGGGGCGGUACCCGCAGAAGAAGCACCGGCUAACUCCGUGCCAGCAGCCGCGGUAAUUC
rnacentral:rRNA from 1 species